AAAAAGAACUGGGGUUCUCUACAAAAAUAUGAAAUAUAGAAACCUUGAUGCGCUUUAUUUAAGUUGGUCGGAAUAAUAUGAUAGGUUCAAUCAUUGUAUCUUACACCUUCAAGUGCUUCUAUGGGUUGAAUUUGCACCAGUAGUGUUUGGUCUUGGAGCAACAGCUAGCAAGCAUCCAGUUCGACCUUGCCAUGAUCCGUCAGGUUCGAUCCGCAGUGCUAUAGCUAUGGCCAAACGCUGCUCCAUCUGUCUUCUUCGAUGUCAACUGAUCAGAUAAAAUUGAAAGACCUUUUUGUCACCGUUUCAAAGUUGUCUCGCUGAGAGUUUUUGAUGUAGUCCCAGACCUUUAUUAUUCGAGUACAAUUGAGACAAGAUAUAUGCAAGAUCAUCUCAUGGUUAAUUGCAAGGAAUUUUAAAUUGAAGGUGCAGCAGAUGGCGAGGCACUCCAUCAAAUUUGGAAUUUGUGCUAUCGUUGCUCCACAUCUGUUUUCCAUCUGUUUUUUUUCUCAGCCGCUAGAGAUGUCCAUCAGAUAAUUGAGUACGCGAUGGCGUCGGGGACUGUUAUAGCGGCCGAGAUCUGAUUGGGCCUAAGACACAAGCCGAAACCAUCGUCCCGCCAUCAAUCAUACGGACACUAGGACAUCAACAACACACGGAAGCGUCUAAUCGAAGCUGCCACGAUGGUUAACAAAACUAUCCGCUGCGAGAAGAAGUCAAACCACCGGUGUUGUUUACUCCAUGGCCCGUAUACC